UCAUAUUUUUUAUUGCAAUAUUUUUAAUUUUCAUAAAAUUUUAAGUCAAACUUGCUGAGCAUAAUUGUCUUUAGUUCGAUGUAUUACUAUGGAUAGUAUUAAUAUUAUAUACAAAAAUGAAGUCAUAUAUUUAGAAAUCAUAAUACUUUUCAUUUACAUUAAGUGUUAAGGCGCGAAUUUAAUGUAUAAUAAUAAGUAUAGUAACACAAAUCUCAUGUGACAGAGUCCAGUUAGGUGCGACGACGAGCGAAGCGAGCCUCUUGGCAUCUUGAGGAGCGUAUUAGGUUGACCGUGAGCAAACCGGAAAUAGUUUUUUAAUGUAAUAAAAAACAUUUGUUCUAUUUAGACAAAUAACACCUUUCUUUCUCUCAAAUUUACUUUUCAGAGACUAUGGAAAAGAAGGUUUUUUUCUGAGAUCUUCAUAUGUUUCAUUUAUAAUUGUUUUAAGAUGCGAAUUUAAUUCAGUAAUAAAUAUAGUAAAACAAAUCUUAUGUGACAGAGUCCAGUUAGGUGCGACGACGAGCGAAGCGAGGAGGAGCGUGUUAGGUUGAACGUGAGCAAACCGAAAACAACUUUCUAUUGUAAUAAAAAACAAAUUGAAAAACCUUCCUAUCCCUCAAAUGUAGUUUUUAGAGACUGAUGUUUCAAGUUGAUGAAUGUUGCACGAAGAGUUAGUAAACUAUGUAUUAUGGCUGAUAAUAAAUAUGCUAGAAAUCGU